rnacentral:lncRNA from 1 species
GUGCUCUGAGAGAUGAGAUUAGAAGCAGGAUCCUCCAGUGGGCAAUGGCUGAGGUAUGCUUGCCGGGGCUGAGAAGCGACCACGCCCUUCCCAAAUCUCUCCGUGUUGCUGCCUGAGUUUGCAUCAGGCAAACCCUCAGGUGGGUUCGAUCUGGCCCGGCUUUGGGCAGCUGUGCUGGGCACAGACAGCUCCGAGAAGGUGCAGCUGGUGUGGGUGCUGCAGGCAAGGUACCCAGCAACCAGGGACUGCAGCUGACCCUGCUGUGGGCUCGUUUAUCCUCGGCUGGGGCUCGAUGAUGGCUUAGCUGGGGCAGGCAGGAGCUCGUGGGUUGGGGCUGUUGGUCUGACACUGAGUCCUGCCUUGUCCUGCCUGCUGUGCUGGUGCUGUUUCCUUCCUUGGUACCACCGUGUGGUCGAGGCAUGAAGUGAAAUGCAAAUGCUGGGCCGUCCCUGGGUGGAGUGGCAACUGCAGAUACAUCAGGAAAGCCCCUUCAAAGCUUGUGCGCUGGAGAGAGCAGAUUCCCACAGUCUCCCAGCUGCCAGGACCGGCGGAGGUGAAGGGCUCGGUAGUGACAUGCGACCUGUGCAAAGCCCUGCGCGUGGCCUGUGUCCGUCCUGGGAUGUCGAAAGGGAAGAUGCAGGUCUCCUGUUUGAUGGGGUUCAACACCAAAGCCCUGAACCCUUAGGCCUGAUUGAUGGACUGGCCAGCUAAUCUCCUUUCAUUACUCGUGUUGGGCCCAGUGCUUGUUCCCAGAGCUCCCAGUCGGUCCCUUCCUCAGCGUGACGUUGGAUUGGUAGUAACACGAAACUGAAGCUACCUGUGGAUGCCAUUCGAAUCUACUGCAUUCACACGCGCUGAGCUUUCAGAAGCAUUCUCCUUUUCAACUGCAGUUUGCACGUUUGGCCUCUGCCGAGAGCUGAUAAACUUCAGUGGGAUGCUGAAGGUGGAAGGCAGCACUCCCAGUGACACGCUGUGCCUGCUGCCAGCAGGUCCCCUGGGACUGCUGGGUGCUGGGCCACGUUCUGCAAGCACAGCGCUGGAGACGGGGGAGG